rnacentral:misc_RNA from 1 species
AACGCACAUUGCGCCCUUUGGCAUUCCGAGGGGCAUGCCUGUUCGAGCGUCAUUACAACCCUCAAGUCACGAUGUUGAUUUGAUGCUGGGCCGGGCCCCGAUCAUCGGGGCCGGCCUGAAAGAUAGCGACGGUUCCCAGCUGACCUCAGGCGUACAAGUAUCGCGAUGAAGGGAAGGCUGACGGGACCGGUCGGUUUUGAAAAUAUCGUCCAAAAUGUUGACCUCGGAUCAGGUAGGAAUACCCGCUGAACUUAA